rnacentral:rRNA from 1 species
CACGUAGGGCGCAAGCGUUGUCCGGAAUUAUUGGGCGUAAAGAGCUCGUAGGCGGUCCGUCACGUCCGCUGUGAAAACCCAGGGCUCAACCCUGGGCUUGCAGUGGAUACGGGCAGACUAGAGGUAGGUAGGGGAGAAUGGAAUUCCCGGUGUAGCGGUGAAAUGCGCAAAUAUCGGGAGGAACACCGGUGGCGAAGGCGGUUCUCUGGGCCUUACCUGACGCUGAGGAGCGAAAGCGUGGGGAGCGAACAGG